UUAACUCGUUCAAUCUUGCAGGGCACAUGGCCCACUCAGACAGCCUGUGUGUACCAGAGUUUCUGUUUGAGCCCCUCCCCAGGCACCUCCGUCCUGUGACCGGGCAUGGUCGGACAGGCAGCAAUGGCUGCUGACCUGGGGAAGCAACAUGGAUGGGUACUCGGAGGGGUUUGGAGCUCGGGGACCGGAUAUGGGGGUCCCGAUACUUUUUAAUGAUCCUUCCGCAGGUUCACCUACGGAAA
rnacentral:misc_RNA from 1 species